UACGUAGGGCGCAAGCGUUGUCCGGAAUUAUUGGGCGUAAAGAGCUCGUAGGCGGCUUGUCACGUCGGGUGUGAAAGCCCGGGGCUUAACCCCGGGUCUGCAUUCGAUACGGGCAGGCGUAGAGUUCGGUAGGGGAGACGUGGAAUUCCUGGUGUAGCGGUGAAAUGACGCAGAUAUCAGGAGGAACACCCGUGGCGAAAGCGGCUCUCUGGGACGGUACUGACGCUGAGACGCGAAAGCGUGGGGAGCAAACAGG
rnacentral:rRNA from 1 species